rnacentral:rRNA from 1 species
UACGUAGGGUCCGAGCGUUGUCCGGAAUUAUUGGGCGUAAAGGGCUCGUAGGCGGUUCGUCACGUCGGGAGUGAAAACUCGGAGCUUAACUCCGAGCCUGCUUCCGAUACGGGCAGACUAGAGGUAGGCAGGGGAGAGCGGAACUCCUGGUGUAGCGGUGGAAUGCGCAGAUAUCAGGAAGAACACCGGUGGCGAAGGCGGCUCACUGGUCCAUUACUGACGCUGAGGUGCGAAAGCAUGGGGGAGCGAACAGG